rnacentral:sRNA from 11 species
CUUGGGAUUGGCGUAACGGUCGGGGUCAUCCCCGAACUCGCCGAGCACCCGGGCGCCGAGCACAUCGCCGAGUCCUGGCUGA